AUCGUGAGGUGUGGGAGAGAAGAAGCAAAAGCGAAAUCGUAGCCCUACGGAAAGAAACUUAAUACUAAGGCGUAUUUGACGGAUAAGUUGACCAAAAGCAACGAAGUCCAAAAGGUAACCGUAACCCAAGUGCGUAGAUUAAGAGGGUAGACGAGGAAAGAGU
rnacentral:ncRNA from 1 species